CAGCCGCCGCGGUAAUACGAAGGGGGCUAGCGUUGCUCGGAAUGACUGGGCGUAAAGGGCUUGUAGGCGGCUCGUCGCGUCUGCCGUGAAAUCCCCUGGCUUAACUGGGGGCGUGCGGUGGGUACGGGCCGGCUUGAGUGCGGUAGGGGAGACUGGAAUUCCUGGUGUAGCGGUGGAAUGCGCAGAUAUCAGGAGGAACACCGGUGGCGAAGGCGGGUCUCUGGGCCGUUACUGACGCUGAGGAGCGAAAGCGUGGGGAGCGAACAGGAUUAGAUACCCGCGUAGUCCCUGUCUCUUAUAU
rnacentral:rRNA from 1 species